AUUGAACGCUGGCGGCAGGCCUAACACAUGCAAGUCGAGCGGAUGAAGGGAGCUUGCUCCUGGAUUCAGCGGCGGACGGGUGAGUAAUGCCUAGGAAUCUGCCUGGUAGUGGGGGAUAACGUCCGGAAACGGGCGCUAAUACCGCAUACGUCCUGAGGGAGAAAGUGGGGGAGCUUCGGACCUCACGCUAUCAGAUGAGCCUAGGUCGGAUUAGCUAGUUGGUGGGGUAAAGGCCUACCAAGGCGACGAUCCGUAACUGGUCUGAGAGGAUGAUCAGUCACACUGGAACUGAGACACGGUCCAGACUCCUACGGGAGGCAGCAGUGGGGAAUAUUGGACAAUGGGCGAAAGCCUGAUCCAGCCAUGCCGCGUGUGUGAAGAAGGUCUUCGGAUUGUAAAGCACUUUAAGUUGGGAGGAAGGUCAGUAAGUUAAUACCUUGCUGUUUUGACGUUACCAACAGAAUAAGCACCGGCUAACUUCGUG
rnacentral:rRNA from 1 species